GAUGAGAACGCAGAGAAAUGCGAUACGUAAUGUGAAUUGCAGAAUUCAGUGAAUCAUCGAAUCUUUGAACGCAUAUUGCGCUCUUUGGUAUUCCGAAGAGCAUGCUUGUUUGAGUAUCAGUAAACACCUCAAAGCUUUUGGAUUUUUUAAUCGAAAAGCUUUGGACUUGAGCAAUCCCAACACCAAUCUUUUUGAGAUCGGUGGCGGGUUGCUUGAAAUGCAGGUGCAGCUGGACAUUCUCCUGAGCUAAAAGCAUAUUCAUUUAGUCCCGUCAAACGGAUUAUUACUUUUGCUGCAGCUAACAUAAAGGGAGUUUGACCGUAUUGGCUGACUGAUGCAGGAUUUCACAAGGGUCGGCAACGAUUCUUGUUAAACUCGAUCUCAAAUCAAGUAAGACUACCCGCUGAACUUAAGCAUAUCAAUAAGCGGAGGA
rnacentral:misc_RNA from 1 species